CCCUGAAAGACCUUGGAAUCAUUCACACUGACGUAAAACCUGACAAUGUCAUGGUGGUCAGUGGGAAGAUCCAGCCAUUGAAAGUCAAACUAAUCGACUUUGGUCUGGCUAUUACAACUUCCAGCAUGGAGCCUGGCCUUGACAUUCAGCCUCUAGGAUACAGGGCUCCUGAAGUCUCCAUUGGCCUUCCCUUCAGUGAGGCCAUUGAUGUGUGGGGCCUGGGUUGUUUGCUCACAUUCCUCUACAUUGGAGAAAACCUCUUGUCUGUGUCCUGUGAUUACCAGAUGAUGAAGCGUGUUUCAGAGCUUCUUGGUCUACCAAAGGACGACCAGCUCCAGGCCGGGGUUCACACCAGGAGCUUCUUUUGUGAGGCUGAGGGAAGCCCAAAAUGGCGAUUGAUGGUAAAACUGAAGUUUUUUUUUCGGCAAACCUGAGUUCACCAAAGUUUAACUUUACAAUGAACUUCAUGACACUCAUCUUGUUUUCCCAGACACCAGAGGAAUAUGAAGCUGUGAACAACAUCGUACCUGAGGAGCAACAACGUUUCGUUGAGUUCUCUUCUUUGGAUGAUCUGGUUAAUGUUCAUCCAGGAGAAGAAAGUGGUGAGGCUGAGGACAGAAAAGCCUUUGUCGACCUGCUGAAGCAGCUCCUGCGCUUGGAUGGAGAUGAAAGGAUCUCUCCUGUCAGGCUCAGUUUCACCACUUCUUCACCACAUCCCACCUCAACCAGCAGGAGACCAGCAGACACUAUCAACCCUCCUCACAGGUUGAUAACACAACCUGCCCUGCAUCUGGUGAAGAGUCUGUUCUGGAUCAAGCCUGUGUGACAGAAUCAAACGAUGGUGACAGACUGAAUUUGGCCGCUACAUCCUGGGAUAUGUUCUAUGUGACUCUGCCAGAAGAAGAACUUUCCCUCUCGUCAGUCAGUUGUGAUGCCUUGGUUGCAGAAGCUUCACAUGAUCUCCCUCCUGUAACUGAUGUGGACCUGGUUUCUGUUCCCACUCCUCAUACAAAUGAUCAAGUUCUGGAUCAGUCUUCAAGUGGAGCAAAAAAACGUUCUUUGAUGAAGAGGAUUCGAAGGCUUUUCCGAAGAAUCAAGACUUUUUUUGUUAAGAAGUGAAUCCUUAUACAUGUAAAAACAUAUAUGUUCAAUAGUUGGUUUUAGAUCAUUUGGACUUUCACAGAUAUAUUUUAUAUAUUUUUUAUAUUAAACAAAUAAACAUGUAAAUAUUUAU
rnacentral:lncRNA from 1 species